rnacentral:tRNA from 1 species
GCCUAUGUGGCGGCAGACUCAAAAUCUGUUGGCCGCAAGGUCGUGUUGGUUCGAGUCCGACCGGGGGCA